ACGUAAUAGAUACCCCGGUAGUCCACGCCCUAAAACGAUGUCUACUAGUUGUUGGUGGAGUAAAAUCCAUGAGUAAACGCAGCUAAACGCGUGAAGUAGACCGCCUGGGGAGUACGGUCGCAAGAUUAAAACUCAAAGGAAUUGACGGGGGCCCGCACAAGCGGUGGAUUAUGUGGAUUAAUUCGAUGCAACGCGAAAAACCUUACCUGGCCUUGACAUGCCACUAACGAAGCAGAGAUGCAUUAGGUGCCCGUAAGGGAAAGUGGACACAGGUGCUGCAUGGCUGUCGUCAGCUCGCGUCGUGAGAUGUUGGGUUAAGUCCCGCAACGAGCGCAACCCUUGCCAUUAAUUGCCAUCAUUUAGUUGGGCACUUUAAUGGGACUGCCGGUGACAAACCGGAGGAAGGUGGGGAUGACGUCAAGUCCUCAUGGCCCUUAUGGCCAGGGCUUCACACGUAAUACAAUGGUCGGUACAGAGAGUUGCCAACCCGCGAGGGGAGCUAAUCUCAGAAAGCCGAUCGUAGUCCGGAUUG
rnacentral:rRNA from 1 species